rnacentral:rRNA from 1 species
UACGUAGGUGGCAAGCGUUGUCCGGAAUCAUUGGGCGUAAAGAGCGCGUAGGUGGCUUGUCAGGUCUGGUGUGAAAUUUCGGGGCUCAACCCCGAACCUGCAUCGGAAACCGGCUUGCUAGAGUCUGGGAGAGGAGAGUGGAAUUCCUGGUGUAGCGGUGAAAUGCGUAGAUAUCAGGAGGAACACCGGUAGCGAAGGCGGCUCUCUGGAACAGUACUGACGCUGAGGCGCGAAAGCUAGGGGAGCGAACAGGAUUAGAUACCCUAGUAGUCC